UUUUCCAUGGCAUCUCUGCUGCAGGUAGCCAUAACACCAGACGGAGACAUGCAGCAGAGACCCCCCACGGUGCCCAAGCUGGCCUGGGUGAAGGAGGAGGAGAAGGAGGAAAGCCCUGGGGCUGCUCCAGCACAGCAGCCUGAAGAGGUGCAGCAGGUGCAGCCCCCGCAGGAGGAUGCAGGCCAGGAGCGGACAGAAGAGCAGCUCCGUGCCCGUGGCCGCUUCCGCAGGGCAGCACAGCUGGUUUGCAGAUUCAUCAGGUGCAUUUGGCAUGAAGAGGCC